UACAGAGGGGGCCAGCGUUAUUCGGAAUUAUUGGGCGUAAAGCGCGCGUAGGCGGCUAUGUAAGUCGGAUGUGAAAUCCCCGGGCUUAACCUGGGAACUGCAUUCGAGACUGCAUGACUAGAGUAUUGGAGAGGGCAGUGGAAUUUCCGGUGUAGCGGUGAAAUGCGUAGAUAUCUGGAGGAAUACCGGUGGCGAAGGCGGCAUCCUGGACCGACAUUGACGCUGAACGGCGAAAGCUAGGGGAGCAAACGGG
rnacentral:rRNA from 1 species